rnacentral:rRNA from 1 species
AGAGUUUGAUCCUGGCUCAGAAUCAACGCUGGCGGCGCGCCUAACACAUGCAAGUCGAACGAGAAAGCAGGAGCAAUCUUGUGAGUAAAGUGGCGUACGGGUGAGUAACACGUGGAUCAUCUACCCUCUUGUGGGGGAUAACCCUGGGAAACCGGGGCUAAUACCGCAUAAGUCCGAGAGGAGAAAGCGGUUUUGUGAAAGCAAAGCCGCGCAGGAGGAGGAGUCCGCGGCGAUUAUGCUAGUUGGUAGGGUAAAAGCCUACCAAGGCUAAGAUCGGUAGCCGGCUGAGAGGGCACACGGCCACACUGGCACUGAAACACGGGCCAGACUCCUACGGGAGGCAGCAGUGGGGAAUCUUGCACAAUGGGGGCAACCCUGAUGCAGCGACGCCGCGUGAGCGAUGAAGCCCUUCGGGGUGUAAAGCUCUUUCGGCAGGGAAGAUGAUGACGGUACCUGCAGAAGCAGCUGCGGCUAACUACGUGCCAGCAGCCGCGGUAAUACGUAGGCAGCAAGCGUUGUUCGGAGUUACUGGGCGUAAAGGGUGUGUAGGCGGUUCUCUAAGGUCUGGUGUGAAAU